rnacentral:lncRNA from 1 species
GUCACAGGUUCAUCUAGGUUGUGUCAUGUAUUGAUACUUUGUUCCUUUUUAUGGCAGAAUACUAUUCCCUCAUGAAUACACCACAUUUCCCUUACUCUCUCCUCAGUUGAUGGAUCUUUGGCCAUUCGACUGCCCCAGGUUAUAGAUGGGGAAACUGAGGGCCAAAGUCACCAAAACCUGGCUGGGAAAGGAGUCUGGGUCUCUCCUAACAUCCACCAUUUCCCCACAGUAUCGCUUUGGAAGAACCCAGAGAACACAGUUCAAGCUUAUCAAAAGAUCACCAAACAGCUACAGCAGCCCUGGAGCCAGAGUCUCCAGGGUUUAUCAUCUGGUACAUAAAUGCCAUACCACAGCUUUCUCCUUGAAGAGAAGAAUCCUGCCGCCCUUGCCUUUAUCCCACUGAAAUCUAGUCUCAAGUUUAGAAAUCAGUCAAUCAGUUAAAACCCAAGUAGGAGCAUGUCUCUGUUGUGCUCACAGCCCUCCAAUUCAGACUAAAAAAACCCAGAGCCUUUACCAUGGCCUUCACAGACUCAUCUGAUCCGGUGCCAGCUUCCUGUCUGACUUUAUUGCACAAGAUCCCUUCCUUGAACAGAUGAAGCAUUCUCCUACCUCAGGACCUUAGCACUGGCUGUUCCUUUGAACUGCAUUCUCCUUCAGUCACAUGUUUCAUUUUCUUUACGAAAUGAACAAACCAACCCAACUGCCAAAGAUGGCUUUCCUGACAAUUUUAUGUAAAACCAUACCUCUUGGAAACCUCUUAUGCUUUCUUUCCUAAAUGUGCUUUGUCUUCCUAGCACUAACCACCACCUGAUUAUUUGCUAACUUGUUUAUGUUCUGCCUCCUUCACUAGAACUUAAGCUCCACAGAGCAAGGAUUGAUUCUUGUCCAGGUCAUUUACCACUGCAUUUUUGUGCUGGCCAGCACGUAGUAGGUGUUCAGUAGAUUCUUACGGGAUUAAUGAUUCAAGCCUUGCAGUGAAUAAACAGUAUUCUCA